GAUGAACGUUGGCGGCGUGCUUAACACAUGCAAGUCGAACGAAGCACUUUAUUUGAUUUCCUUCGGGACUGAUUAUUUUGUGACUGAGUGGCGGACGGGUGAGUAACGCGUGGGUAACCUGCCUUGUACAGGGGGAUAACAGUUGGAAACGGCUGCUCAUACCGCAUAAGCGCACAGCAUCGCAUGAUGCAGUGUGAAAAACUCCGGUGGUAUAAGAUGGACCCGCGUUGGAUUAGCUAGUUGGUGAGGUAACGGCCCACCAAGGCGACGAUCCAUAGCCGACCUGAGAGGGUGACCGGCCACAUUGGGACUGAGACACGGCCCAAACUCCUACGGGAGGCAGCAGUGGGGAAUAUUGCACAAUGGGCGAAAGCCUGAUGCAGCGACGCCGCGUGAGCGAAGAAGUAUUUCGGUAUGUAAAGCUCUAUCAGCAGGGAAGAUAAUGACGGUACCUGACUAAGAAGCACCGGCUAAAUACGUG
rnacentral:rRNA from 1 species